rnacentral:rRNA from 1 species
GACCACGGUAGGAUCAGCGACUGGGGUGAAGUCGAAACAAGGUAGCCGUAGGGGAACCUGCGGCUGGAUCACCUCCUU